GAGGUGGAAAAGUCAAAGCCUGAAAAGGCCAGCAGUGAAGUGUGGGCCACCAUCCUGGCUCUGAUCUGGCUUCAUGGUUUCAAGAUGGAUGCAAAGGACGAGUGGGAGCUUCUGGCUGUGAAGGCUGCCUCAUGGCUCCAAGCUCAUAAAGCACCGUUUGUGUCAG